UACGUAGGGGGCGAGCGUUGUUCGGAAUCAUUGGGCGUAAAGCGCGUGUAGGUGGCUAGGUAAGUCGGGUGUGAAAUCCCUGGGCUCAACCGAGGAAGUGCAUCCGAAACUCCCUAGCUAGAGGACGGUAGAGGAAGGUGGAAUUCCUAGUGUAGGGGUGAAAUUCGUAGAUAUUAGGAGGAAUACCUGUGGCGAAGGCGGCCUUCUGGGCCGUUCCUAACACUGAGACGCGAAAGCGUGGGGAGCAAACAG
rnacentral:rRNA from 1 species